CUCAAUUCUCUCUUCCUCCAUUGAUAUAGCCAUUGGCUAUUUCUGAACAAAAAAAAUAGUCUCUCUUCUCAAACUUUUCACAACAAAUCAACCGUAAAAGUUGAUGACGAGGCACCAUCAAAUUAUCAUUACCACCACCACCAGCUGCCUCAAGCUUAGGUACAAUUAAUGGCUUCGGCUGAAACUGUUCAACAGGAAGCACUAGGAGAUUGAACCACCAGAAGCUGUAGACUUUAGUUACAUUACACAUGGUUAUAUCUACUAUGGAGGAGUUGCUACUGAUGGAAAUUGAUAUAUCAAACUCCCUCAAAUUUGAGUCGAGUAAUUCCACAGCAAAAAACAUUUCUCAGGAGAUCUAAUGGGGGGCUAUUCAAAAAGAUUAUGCAAUAGUGAGGAAUUGAAAUAUUUGGACUACCUAUGUGAGUCCAGUCCACUGAAAUGUAGUUGUGUGGAACUCAUAUCUUUUAUACAUUUAUUGCUACUCCUAUACUUCUUUGGAGGCUUACCCUCCAAUCAUUUGUACAUCCUUGAAGUCUGUAUAAAUUAUGAAUUAUCUUUUCA